GCGCGGGUGGUGGAACUGGUAGACACGCACGUUUGAGGGGCGUGUGCUUAACGGCUUGCGGGUUCGAGUCCCGCCCCGCGCA
rnacentral:tRNA from 1 species